rnacentral:lncRNA from 1 species
UCUGUACUUGUGCCUUCAAUCAAAUAUCACAAAGUGACUUAUCCCGUGGAAUAGCCAAUCCUUUCUGCAAUAUAGAGAUAUCCCUCCAAAAUUUAUCCCCACGAUCAGACGUAGUCGAAGCUGGUUUCGAAUUUGUUCUAUCAUUAAAGCAUCUUGACUCAAAGGACAUCUCCUAUUGUAGACUCUCGUUUGAGACCACGAUACCACUUGCUUUC